GCGCAGCUACACAUGCAGUCGAGCGGUAGAGAGAAGCUUGCUUCUCUUGAGAGCGGCGGACGGGCUGUAGUAAUGCCUAGGAAUCUGCCUGGUAGUGGGGGAUAACGUUCGGAAACGGACGCUAAUACCGCAUACGUCCUACGGGAGAAAGCAGGGGACCUUCGGGCCUUGCGCUAUCAGAUGAGCCUAGGUCGGAUUAGCUAGUUGGUGGGGUAAUGGCUCACCAAGGCGACGAUCCGUAACUGGUCUGAGAGGAUGAUCAGUCACACUGGAACUGAGACACGGUCCAGACUCCUACGGGAGGCAGCAGUGGGGAAUAUUGGACAAUGGGCGAAAGCCUGAUCCAGCCAUGCCGCGUGUGUGAAGAAGGUCUUCGGAUUGUAAAGCACUUUAAGUUGGGAGGAAGGGUUGUAGAUUAAUACUCUGCAAUUUUGACGUUACCGACAGAAUAAGCACCGGCUAACUCUGUGCCAGCAGCCGCGGUAAUACAGAGGGUGCAUAGCGUUAAUCGGAAUUACUGGGCGUAAAGCGCGCGUAGGUGGUUUGUUAAGUUGGAUGUGAAAUCCCCGGGCUCAACCUGGGAACUGCAUUCAAAACUGACUGACUAGAGUAUGGUAGAGGGUGGUGGAAUUUCCUGUGUAGCGGUGAAACGCCUACAUAUAGGAAGGAACACCCGUGUCUAAGGCAACCACCUGGUCUAGUACA
rnacentral:rRNA from 2 species